GCGGGGGCCGAGGAGCGCGCGAGGCGGAGGCCUACCUGUGGCCCAGAAAGAGAACUGUCAUUAAAUGAAGAAGGCUCAAGACCAGAGGCCUGGAAAUAAAGUGGAUUUAUGCUUGACUUGCAGAUCUGUUAAGUGCACACACGAAAUGUAAUAUAUUUAAACAAAAUUACCUUAUCAGAUUAUGUAUUAAUAUGUGGUAUUCUGGUUUUCUGGGGAUGCUUUUAAUUAGUCUGAUUGUAUUGUCAACUGGACAGGUUUAUAAAUAGGUGUGUGUACUUUUGAAAUUCAAUAAUUCAGUGUUAUGUUGAUAAAACAAUGAUUUACUGGCCCAUUUUACUAAUUAGUUUUGUUAAAUAUAAAUUCAUGUUUGGUUUGGUUGAAAACAAUAAGAACAACAUAGGAGGCUUUCGGCUCGGAGGAGGCCAAGGUGCAACUUUCUUCGGUCGUCCCGAAUCCGGGUUCAUCCGACACCAGCCGCCUCCACCAUGCCGCCAAAGUUCGACCCCAACGAGAUCAAAGUCGUAUACCUGAGGUGCACCGGAGGUGAAGUCGGUGCCACUUCUGCCCUGGCCCCCAAGAUCGGCCCCCUGGGUCUGUCUCCAAAAAAGGUUGGUGAUGACAUUGCCAAGGCAACGGGUGACUGGAAGGGCCUGAGGAUUACAGGGAAACUGACCGUUCAGAACAGACAGGCCCAAAUUGAGGUGGUGCCUUCUGCCUCUGCCUCUUUCCUGAUCAUCAAAGCCCUCAAGGAACCACCAAGAGACAGAAAGAAACAGAAAAACAUUAAACACAGUAGGAAUAUCACUUUUGAUGAGAUCGUCAACAUUGCUCGACAGAUGCGGCACCGAUCCUUAGCCAGAGAACUCUCUGGAAUCCUUAAAGAGAUCUUGGGGACUGCCCAGUCUGUGGACUGUAAUGUUGAUGGCCACCACCCUCAUGACAUCAUAGAUGAGGUGCUGUGGAAUGCCCAUGACAUCAACAGUGGUGCUGUGGAACGCCCAGCCAGUUAAACACAAAGGAAAAUAAUUCAAUAAAGGAUCAUUUGACAACUGGAAAAAAAAAAAAAAAAAAAAAACAGGAGGUUGUGACUUUAACAGCGUGUGGAUUCCCUAACUGAUCUGGCCUGGUCUUCAAAAUCUCUUUUCCCUUGUCAUUCCUUUUCUUUUUUUUUUUUUGAGACAGGGUCUCACAUUGUUCCCCAGGCU